rnacentral:sRNA from 1 species
UGAACAGUUGAAAAAUGGAAUUGACUUUCACUCCUCCAGGUCCAGAAGGAUUCUAAUACACAAACCAUAAGCAAGAGUUGUUUCUGUUAUUUUGUCCACAGAACAGAAGCUGAAAAAGCAUAUUGCUUGCAUUUCAGCCAGUCCCCUUAAUACUUUGAGAACACUGGGAUGUGAUGUCUCCGUCUGCCACCCCAGAAUCAUUUGUUCCUACGAGAAGGCCAAGAGUGGUACUUGCUUUGAUCACUGUUUUUAAAUAGAAGACACAUUGGUAGAAAUCUUUCACAUAAUAUGUUGCUGCUUUUGGGGGGGUGUUGGGGAGUACCAGAGAGGUCUGCAUGCAUCUGCAGUGUACACUGGCAAACAAAAGGUUUGUCAUUCCCGUUGUCCUGUUGUGCUUCCUUUCCACCUCUCCCUGGCUGUUCCCCCACCCCCUCGUUCCUUUUGUAAAGGAUGCAGGUGUAGUCUUGUGCCAGUCUGUGACAUAACACCUGAACAAUUUCUAUGGUAUCCUACCCAUUUGCUCAGAUUCAAACCAGGCCUUAAUCGAUAACAAGCAAAGAGAAAAAAAGGUGGGAUUUGUAAAUAACAAUUACAGCAAAAAAAAAAAAAAAAAAAAACACUGAGAACUCUGCUAUUCUGCUUAAAAUAGAUAUAUUACCAUAAGGAGAGGUUUUUAGAAUGUGUAUUUUAUAAAGUCCUAAAAAAAUUGUGAUGGUCAUUAUAAUAGGCAAAGAUGAAAAA